rnacentral:precursor_RNA from 1 species
GGUGAAAUAUUUUGACCAAUUUUAUCCUACCCGUCGUCAGUGUCCAUACAGCUGAGAAAUGAAUUGGUUAAGAUAUUGCAUCGC